rnacentral:lncRNA from 1 species
AAAACAAUACUGGCAUAUGCACCCCACCCCCAUGAUUCUGAUUUAUUUGGUCUAGAGUGGGGGCCCUGAGUAUAAAAUCUUCCCAAGGGGUGGGAACCAUAGUAUUAAUGCUCAAUACAUAUUUCUUGCCUGAAUGAACACAGCUCACUCUACAAUUAACGUCAGCAUAACCACACACAACAAAUUAUAUGUGAGAGUGUUUUUAUAUUGAUUUCUAUUCCUCCUUAAUAGGAAUCGGCCGAAUCUCUUUGCCAGCAAUUGUCUCUAUUCUAGUCGAUAUCAGAGUUUUCUUAACACCCUCUCCACCGUUUUUCUCCUUUUAUUUAUGUUACUACCUCUUCUUGGUCACUCUAGGAUGCAUUGGGAAUCUGGCUUCCUCAUAUCAAGAUCCUUGUAAUGAUUGCCUGAUGAGUGAGUUCAUCAGCUGUAUUUAAAAAGUGUUGCCAUACCCCAAGCUCCUCAAAAUGCCCUGUGCGCUCUUUAUUUACUUGAGUCUGUAGCGUCUUCUUCCCAGAAGCCUUUGUUCUGAGCCAUGCUGGCCUGGGUUGGGAGGAGGAGUAAAAAGAUCCACUUCCAAGUUGAAGCUGCACUGAGAAGGCAGCUCCACGGUGCAGAAGUCAAGGAUCCCACGACUCCGUUGUGCAAAGGGGCUCACCCCUCCGUCUCCUUUCCUCAGCCGGAAUAUUACUCAUUCUUGUUUUCUGAGUUUAAUAGUUAUACCCUGCUGUAUCCAUUUUAAUAUUUUAUUCCAACAUGAAUUUUAGUGUAAGAAAGUCUUUCAAAAAAGAAGUUGCCGAAAGCAUACUAUCUGCAGUGCCCAGAACAUUCUGAGGAUUUCUGAGGAACAGAAAGUAGACUACUUCUUGUCACAAAAUGCCUGCCCCAGGAGAGACAGUGCCUUCUGGAAGGGACAAGAUCAAAUGACAGGAGCGGAAUGCUUUACAAGUUCCGAAGCUUGGCACAAAUGAUCAUUGGUAUCAAAAUUAUACUAUCACCAAAAGAAGAAUAAAAAAGCACCCUGCUUACCUGCGUAAAACUUUUCAUCUUACUUGCAAGCUACUGGUGCAGCCAGACCACACAGUCUCGAGAACGUCAGCUCCAGAAGGCCGAGGACUGUCCACUGUCUCCUUCAUCCUGGCACCGAGAAUGCAUUUCCAGCUGUGGAAUGCACACCUGAGAAACAGCGUUCAGCUGGCGGAACCAAGACCUGGGGAGGAACCAGCUUUGCUGUGUCCACCGCCUCAGACCCUGCUUCUUUGAUUCCAGUGACUAAUUCGCUUCUUUUCCUCACACAUGCAUUCUUCAUUCCUCUAACUUGAGAAGAACCUGAGGCUAAUUGCGUAAUUGCCCCUCCUCCAAGAGAUCAAUAAUAAGUUUUCCUGAACGUGGGAUUCACCCAUGUCAAGGUGGAGGGAGAAGCUACCCUUUAAAUUCUAUUAUCCUAAAGGCUUUCGUAUCACAAAUCUGGCAAAUGAGAACAGAUGCUGCUCGACGAACUAUGCUAUGCAAUGCUAUCCAGUGCUAUACGAAAAAAUGCUGUACUACAUGAACAAAUGAUACUCUUUGUCUCCCAUUCCCCAGUGGUCAUCUUGUGAUUGAGAUGUCCGCUUGUUCUCUUUCUUUAUGUUAUCUUCAUGUUCCAAUUCAAAAUCCUUCUACAUUUCAUACCUUUAUGGAAACAUCCAGUACAAACAGGCAUUGCCUCUCAAGCAACUUUUGUUUCUUGAACAUCUGUAAUCUUACUGCACUCUCGGUCAGAGAGAAUCACUGGAAUCUUUUCUCCUCAGCAGAUUGCCUAUUCCUGCAUGGUAGAUGUUUUACUCAGGACACUCUGGGUUGAGCAGAGGAAGCAAAUGGUACCCUGGUUGGUGCAAGGAGUGAUGUACCUCUCUCAGAACCCAACAGCGAAUAAAUCAGCCACUAGAAAACUCUUGAAAGUUCAUGUAGUUCCCUGCCAAUUCUGCAUCUUAUUAAUAAAGUUCCCAUUGAUUCAGAGCCAUGAAAAAACUUCUCUGCACCUCUGGGCACUCUGGUGCAUGCACUCAGCCUAAGGCCUGGUCUUUAUAUAGCGAACGUCCCCUGAGCCCUGUGCCUGGCAGUGCUGGGGGAGCUUCACAUCACCAACUCCUUAAACCCUCACCCAACAGCUACUGGACAGUGGUGGAAAUGGAGGUACUGAGAGGUUAAUUAACUUGCUCAGGGUCCCACAGCUAAUAAUUGGCAGAGCUGGUAUUUGAGCCAAAGCUGCCUGGGUCCAAAGUCCAGCCUCUAAACUGCCAUACCACCUGCCAUUUUAUUGACAGAAAAUUGAGCAGGGCACUAUAGUAGUGUGACUUUUCCUCAGCAGACUUCCCAUGCCCCAGGCAGCAUCGCUGGGACUGUAUCUUUACCUCCUGCUGCAUAUGGAAAGCUGCUCAGACCAGAUUGACUGAAUUCUGUGUU